AUUGAACGCUGGCGGCAGGCCUAACACAUGCAAGUCGAACGGUAACAGGAAGAAGCUUGCUUCUUUGCUGACGAGUGGCGGACGGGUGAGUAAUGUCUGGGAAACUGCCUGAUGGAGGGGGAUAACUACUGGAAACGGUAGCUAAUACCGCAUAACGUCGCAAGACCAAAGAGGGGGACCUUCGGGCCUCUUGCCAUCGGAUGUGCCCAGAUGGGAUUCGCUAGUAGGUGGGGUUACGGCUCACCUAGGCGACGAGCUCUAGCUGGUCUGAGAGGAUGACCGGCCACACUGGAACUGAGACACGGUCCAGGCUCCUACGGGAGGCAGCAGUGGGGAAUAUUGCACAGUGGGCGCAAGCCUGAUGCAGCGAUGCCGCGUGUAUGAAGAAGGCGUUCGGGUUGUAAAGUACUUUCAGCGGGGAGGAAGGGAGUAAAGUUAAUACCUUUGCUCAUUGACGUUACCCGCAGAAGAAGCACCGGCUAACUCCGUG
rnacentral:rRNA from 1 species